AUUGAACGCUGGCGGCAGGCUUAAAACAUGCAAGUCGAGCGAGUGGCGGACGGGUGAGUAUUGUCUGGGAAACUGCCUGAUGGAGGGGGAUCACUAAUGGAAACGGUAGCUAAUACCGCAUAACAUAAGAUGUGCCCAGAUGGGAUUAGCUAGUAGGUGGGGUACUGGCUCACCUAGGAGACGAUCCCUAGCUGGUCUGAGGGGAUGACCAGCCACACUGGAACUGAGACACGGCCCAGACUCCUACGGGAGGCAGCAGUGGGGUAUAUUGCACAAUGGGCGCAAGCCUGAUGCAGCCAUGCCGCGUGUGUGAAGAAGGCCUUCGGGUUGUAAAGCACUUUCAGCGAGGAGGCGUUACUCGCAGAAGAAGCACCGGCUAACUCCGUGCCAGCCGCCGCGGUAAUAC
rnacentral:rRNA from 1 species